AUGGGAUUUAGAAAAAAGAAGAAACUAAAGAUAAGAGUGGAAGUCAUUAUACCGGCAACUUUGAAAAGGUCUGUACAGUCAACGGUUUCCCUAGGGGGCUGUGAAGUAAGACCACCAGUGGUCUUAAAGUUGAAGUGUGCUUCAGGGCCAGUGCAUAUUAGUGGACAACACUUAGCUGCUGUGGAGGAAGAUGCAGGGUCAGAAGAUGAAGAGGAGGAGGAUGGGAAACUCUUAAGUAUAUCUGGAAAGCGGUCUGCCCCUGGAGGUGGUAGCAAAGUUCCACAGAAAAAAGUAAAACUUGCUGCUGAUGAAGAUGAUGAUGAUGAUGAUCAUGAUGAAGACGAUCAUGAUUUUGAUGAUAAGGAAGCUGAAGAAAAAGCACCAGUGAAGAAAUCUAUACGAGAUACUCCAGUUAAAAAUGCACAAAAGUCAAAUCACAAUGGACAAGACUCAAAACCAUCAUCAACACCAAGAUCAAAAGGACAAGAGUCCUUCAAAAAAUUAGGAAAAAACUCCGAAAACACCAAAAGGACCUAGUUCUGUAGAAGAUAUUAAAGCAAAAAUGCAAGCAAGUAUAGAAAAAGGCGGUUCUCUUCCCAACGUGGAAGCCAAGUUCAUUAGUUAUGUGAAAAGUUGCUUCUGGAUGACUAACCAAGAGGCUAUUCAAGAUCUCUGGCAGUGGAGGAAGUCUCUUUAAGAAAAUAGUUUAAACAAUUUGUUAAAAAUUUUCUGUCUUAUUUCAUUUCUGUAACAGUUGAUAUCUGGCUGUCCUUUUUAUGAUGCAGAGUGAGAACUUUCCCUACCGUGUUUGAUAAAUGUUGUCCAGGUUCUAUUG